GUUACCCAUCGUCAGUCCUGGGCACCUAGGCGAAUUGGUCUUCGCUAUUCCAUUGGCUCUUUGUAGGACCCACACCUGGAGACUUCAUCGCGGAAUAUAUCUUUGUAAAGAUUGGGUAUUAGAGCUUUUACCCAUCCUUCCAAAUUAAUUAUUAGAUAUUAAAUCAAACUUGUGCAUUUUUCUUCUCAAAAAUAAAUAAGACCCCCCCCCCCCAGUAAGACCAUCAAUUCAGCCUUCACUGGGUAAUCAUCUCAUUUAAUGAUUUAAGGUGUACACGCACCAGUGCUGUCUCAAUACCUUCAUUGAGAAGAUUUCAGGGUUCGGUAAAGUUUCAUGAUUCUUAGAGCUUUCUUCCCGAAGCUGUGUGCUGGUUCCCCUGACAAAUCCAGAGUUCUCUAGCACACUCAGCCGCCAUGGCUGCAGCCGUGCCAUUUGUGACAAAGCUUCUGCUGGAAUCUACCUGCCCCGAUGGGAAUGUGUUGGUCGAGCUUCACACCCCGGCUCUGCUGGGACCUUCAUUCAUUCGGGCGCAACGUCAGGAUCUGUGGGAAGCUGGAGGCUGUGAGGGAAGGCAGAUACACAGGCAGUCCAAAGAUGGGAACCUGAGACACAUAAAUAAGAGGUGAGUGAUGCCACAUAAAACGUGUUUGUGAGGCUGAUUAGAGGCAUGAGCAGGUACAGGGUUAGUGCACUUCUGACAAGUCUAAUUGGAAUUGAUGUAAUGGAAA
rnacentral:lncRNA from 1 species